UACGGGGGGGGUAAGCGUUGUUCGGAAUUACUGGGCGUAAAGGGCUCGUAGGCGGCCAACUAAGUCAUACGUGAAAUCCCUCAGCUUAACUGGGGAACUGCGUGUGAUACUGGAUGGCUUGGAUUUGGGAGAGGGAUGCGGAAUUCCAGGUGUAGCGGUGAAAUGCGCAGAUAUCUGGAGGAACACCGGUGGCGAAGGCGGCAUCCUGGACCGGUAUUGACGCUCAUGCACGAAAGCGUGGGGAGCAAACAGG
rnacentral:rRNA from 1 species